CGUGAUGCGUACCGAAAUCAAGUAGGGAAGUGUGUGAGCCAGCUGUCAAGAAAAGCCGCUAUUGCGUAUACGGUACCCGUACCGUAAACCGACACAGGUGGAUGAGGAGAGAAUCCUAAGGCCGGCGGAAGAAGUAUUGUCAAGGAACUCGGCAAAAUGACCCUGUAACUUCGGGAGAAAGGGUGCCUCGAAAGAGGCCGCAGAGAAUUGGCCCAAGCAACUGUUUAGCAAAAACACAGGUCUAUGCGAAACCGAAAGGUGAGGUAUAUGGGCUGACGCCUGCCCGGUGCUGGAAGGUUAAGGGGAGAUGUUAGAGCAAUCGAAGCAUUGAACUUAAGCCCCAGUAAACGGCGGCCGUAACAAUAACGGUCCUAAGGUAGCGAAAUUCCUUGUCGGGUAAGUUCCGACCCGCACGAAAGGCGUAAUGAUUUGGGCGCUGUCUCGACAAUACAUCCGGUGAAAUUGAAGUACCAGUGAAGAUGCUGGUUACCCGCGCCAGGACGGAAAGACCCCAUGGAGCUUUACUCCAGCUUGAUACUGGGAUUCGGUAUUGCAUGUACAGGAUAGGUGGGAGGCUAAGAAGCAUGGACGCCAGUCUAUGUGGAGCCGCUGUUGGGAUACCACCCUUGCGGUAUUGGAUUUCUAACCAGCCGCCGUGAAACCGGCGGUGGGACAAUGUCAGGCGGGGAGUUUGACUGGGGCGGUCGCCUCCGAAAGGGUAUCGGAGGCGCCCAAAGGUUCCCUCAGAAUGGUUGGAAACCAUUCGAAGAGUGCAAAGGCAGAAGGGAGCUUGACUGUGACACCGACGGGUGGAGCAGGUACGAAAGUAGGGCUUAGUGAUCCGGUGGUAUUAAGUGGGAAUGCCAUCGUUCAACGGAUAAAAGCUACCCCUGGGAUAACAGGCUUAUCACUCCCAAGAGUUCACAUCGACGGAGUGGUUUGGCACCUCGAUGUCGGCUCAUCGCAUCCUGGGGCUGUAGUAGGUCCCAAGGGUUGGGCUGUUCGCCCAUUAAAGCGGUACGCGAGCUGGGUUCAGAACGUCGUGAGACAGUUCGGUCCCUAUCCGGCGUGGGCGCAGGAUAUUUGAGAGGAGCUGUCCUUAGUACGAGAGGACCGGGAUGGACUGACCUCUGGUGCACCGGUUGUUCCGCCAGGAGCAUAGCCGGGUAGCCAAGUCGGGAAGGGAUAAACGCUGAAGGCAUCUAAGCGUGAAGCCCCCCUCAAGAUGAGAUAUCCCAUGCGAAAGCGAUAAGACCCCUUGAAGACGACGAGGUAGAUAGGUCAGAGGUGGAAGCACAGCAAUGUGUGGAGCUGACUGAUACUAAUAGGUCGAAGGCUUAACAAA
rnacentral:rRNA from 1 species